rnacentral:rRNA from 1 species
UACGUAGGUGGCAAGCGUUGUCCGGAAUUCUUGGGCGUAAAGCGCGCGCAGGCGGUCUUCCAAGUCAGUGGUGAAAGCCCGGAGCUCAACUCCGGAACUGCCAUUGAAACUGUUAGACUUGAGGAUGAGAGAGGUGAGUGGAAUUCCCAGUGUAGAGGUGAAAUUCGUAGAUAUUGGGAAGAACACCGGUGGCGAAGGCGGCUCACUGGCCCGGUACUGACGCUGAUGUGCGAAAGCGUGGGGAGCAAACAGG